rnacentral:rRNA from 2 species
UACGUAGGGGGCAAGCGUUGUCCGGAAUCAUUGGGCGUAAAGCGCGCGUAGGCGGCCUCACAAGUCCGCUGUAAAAGUCAAAGGCUCAACCUUUGAAUGCCAGUGGAAACUGUGAGGCUAGAGUCCGGAAGAGGCGAGUGGAAUUCCUGGUGUAGCGGUGGAAUGCGCAGAUAUCAGGAGGAACACCAACGGCGAAGGCAGCUCGCUGGGACGGUACUGACGCUAAGGCGCGAAAGCGUGGGGAGCAAACAGG